rnacentral:rRNA from 1 species
AUUGAACGCUGGCGGCAGGCUUAACACAUGCAAGUCGAACGAGUGGCGGACGGGUGAGUAAUGCUUGGGCAUCUAGCUUCUGGAGGGGGCUAACUACGGGAAACUGUAGCUAAUACCGCGUACCAUACGAUGAGCCCAAGCGGGAUGAGGUAGUUGGUGUGGUAAAGGCUCACCAAGCCGACGAGCUCUAGCUGGUCUGAGAGGAUGACCAGCCACACGGGGACUGAGACACGGCCCAGACGCCCACGGGAGGCAGCAGUGGGGAAUAGUUCGCAAUGGGGGCAACCUGACGCAGCCAAGCCGCGUGAAUGAAGAAGGCCUUCGGGUUGUAAAGUUCUUUCGGUAGCGAGGCGUUAUCUACAGAAGAAGCACCGGCUAACUCCGUGCCAGCAGCCGCGGUAAUAC